GACGAACGCUGGCGGCGUGCUUAACACAUGCAAGUCGAACGAAGUGGCGAACGGGUGAGUAACGCGUAAUCAACAUGACCUUAAGAGGGGGACAAAAGUUGGAAACGACUGCUAAUACCGCAUAAUGAAGGAGUGGAUUGCGUCUGAUUAGCUAGUUGGAGGGGUAACGGCCCACCAAGGCGAGGAUCAGUAGCCGGUCUGAGAGGAUGAACGGCCACAUUGGGAUUGAGACACGGCCCAGACUCCUACGGGAGGCAGCAUGGGGGAAUCUUCCGCAAUGGACGAAAGUCUGACUGAGCAACGCCGCUUGAGUGAUGACGGCCUUCGGGUUGUAAAGCUCUGUUAAUCGGGACGCGGUACCGGAAUAGAAAGCCACGGCUAACUACGUGCCAGCAGCCGCGGUAAUUC
rnacentral:rRNA from 1 species